rnacentral:misc_RNA from 1 species
AAGUCGUAACAAGGUUUCCGUAGGUGAACCUGCGGAAGGAUCAUUAUUGAAUUAAGGGGGGUUGUAGCUGACCUAGGAAGGGUAUGUGCACACCUUGCUUUUUCCAGAACAAAUCACACCUUGUGCACCUUUUUGUAGGCAUGGUCAACCGUGUCUACGUUUCCUUAUUGCACACACACAAUUAGAGUACAGGGAUGUCGCUUACUUUGUACAACUUUCAACAACGGAUCUCUUGGCUCUC